UGAGGGGGAUAUUUGGCACAAUGGGCGAAAGCCUGAUGCAGCAACGCCGCGUGAGGGAAGACGGUCUUCGGAUUGUAAACCUCUGUCUUCGGUGACGAACAAAUGACGGUAGCCGGGGAGGAAGCCACGGCUAACUACGUGCCAGCAGCCGCGGUAAUACGUAGGUGGCGAGCGUUGUCCGGAAUUACUGGGGUGUAAAGGGGGCGCAGGCGGGGACAGCAAGUUGGAUGUGAAAUACCGAGGCUUAACUUCGGAGCUGCAUCCAAAACUGUUGUUCUUGAGUGGAGUAGAGGCAAGCGGAAUUCCGAGUGUAGCGGUGAAAUGCGUAGAUAUUCGGAGGAACACCAGUGGCGAAGGCGGCUUGCUGGGCUCUAACUGACGCUGAGGCUCGAAAGUGUGGGGAGCAAACAGGAUUAGAUACCCU
rnacentral:rRNA from 1 species